GGCCCGCGCCACUCCUCCCGCUCCGCCCCCGGCUCCUCCCCUCCUGGCGGAAGGCCGGGGACGUGCGGGACACUGAUCUGGAACGCAGAGACUCAGCAUACACACUCCUGGCGGCGGAGGUGACGGUCUCCAGUCCCUUGCGCACUCACAGUGUGGUCCUUGGCUUAGAACAUCAUAUAAGCAUGUGAAAAACGCAGCAUCUCCGGCUUCGCUCCAGACCUAUUGAAUCCAAAUCUAAAUAGUUAGCAAGGUCCCCAGGUUUGUUCUCCUCUACUUUUGUCCCACGGGCAUUAUGAAGGGUCUCCUGUGUGUCCUGAAACCUGGAAAUAGACGGAUGAACAAGAUAGACAUGGUCCCAGACUUCUGGGAGCUUAAAAUUCGGGCCUUCACACCUUCUACUUUUGCUAACUCACCCUGUCUGGCAGCUUAUAUUUUUCAAAUAUGACCACAACAGUAUCUCCUAUACCACAUGUUCCUCUACAAUCAAUGUGACCUUGACAUUCUUCUCAUCAGGAGGCAGGUACAGGUAACCUCUUCUUAUUUCUGGGUGGGCUUAUAUCUAAUUUGUAACCAAUAGAAUGUGAUGGAAAUAACACUGUGUGGCAUCCAAGGCUAAAUUAUAACAAGUAAUGCAGCUUCCAUCUUAAAUGUUACAGCACUCACUUUUGGAGCCCUGGGCUGCCUUGUAAGAAUCUGACUGCCCUGUAGCUGCCUUACUGGGAGGAAGCCCAGACAACAUAAAGUGGCCACUUGGAAGUGCUUGGAUUGACUGCUCCAGGACAGCAUUGACUGACAGCUAUGUGAGUAAACCGCUUUGGAUAUAUCCAGCCCAGUCAAUCCUUCAGAUUACCACCAUCCCGUAACAUUCCAGAAUUCCUGACCCCAAAAAUUAUAAACAAAAAUAUAGUUGUUAUAAGCCUCUAAUUUUAGGAUAAUUUCUUAUGUAACAAGGUAACUGGAAUUUCCUGCUAGCUUCCUACAAUCCAAUGCUAUGGAUGUCCCCUCUAAUCAACAGUCUACACUCAACAGGGUAAUGAGCCGUCAGGAAGAUAAAUAUUUUAGAGA
rnacentral:lncRNA from 13 species